rnacentral:lncRNA from 1 species
CCGUCCGGUGUUACGGGCUACGCAAAGCGCAUGGUUUGGUGGGGGGGCCGGAGGUAUUAACAUGCUUUUAUAAAGCGCGGCGGGGAUAGGGGCGAGGUGGGUUUGGAAGGCAUAACUCUGCAGGGGAUUUCGCCCACUGCUUCGGAUUCAGACCCGCCGCCAGAGGAGCGAGAUUAGGAGAGAAGAAUCGUUCAGCAAGACGAAGACGAAGACGAAGAAGAGAUAAGAGAGGUAAAACCCACCCCACCGGAGCCUCUGAUAGCUGAACCCGAACGUCGGCUUCUUAUGGGCUACCACCACCGGCUGAAUCUUCUUCCUCUCUCUCUCUCNNNNN